UAAUUAUCUCUUCCCUGACUUUCUCUGAACAUACUAAUCAUGUUGAAGCUCUACAGAGUUCCACUUUCAUCCUCUUCUCACAAAUCUUAGCAAAACUACCCCAGAGUUUCACUUCUCAUCAACAUGGCGAUGAAUCUCAAGGCAAUAACCUUCAACAUUUCCAAAACUAUGUGUCCACCUCCUCACUAGAUAUCUCCAGCCGAAUAAUCCAAAGUACCUUAAAUGCAAUAUAUAUAAAACCAAACUUUUAAUCUACUGAUCGCCUCCUUCUCCAAUUUAAAUCUGUUUUAAUUGUAUAUUCCCUUUAGCAGUGAAUGUCCCAGCCUUACUUACACUCAGCUUUCAACAUCACAAAAUCACAAACCAUCAUUUAGUCUCUUUUUUCUCAUAUAGUCAAUACCAGAUCCUCUUGAUUCAGUAUAUUUAUACCUCAUUAAUUUGCCCAGUUCUGUUUAUAGUCUCUAUAAUAUUAUUCUCAGUUAUCACUGAGAUUAUAAAAACAAUCUCCUGAUCAAUCCCAUACCUCUAAUCCUUAUUCCCUUCAAAUCUAAAACUACAUGAUGUGCCACUCCCUGUUUAAAAUCCUUUAGCUAUUUCUCAUCAUCUGCAAUAAAACGUAAUGAAACUCAUUUCUCAGACUCUUGCCUAAUUAGAGACUGGUUUCCCCACCUUCCCAUCUCAUCACUAAUUUCUUCUUUGUUAUACCACAAGGCAUGGGAACUAUUCCAAGCCCCACAGUAUUCACCAAACCAGUAUUAUCUCCAAUGGUUGCUUGUCUUUCGUCCCUCCACUUGGAUGACUUGUUUGUCUUCCAGAACUCAACCUUCUCCACAACCUUCUCUAAGAUUCUCCUGCCUCCAAAGUUCAGCUUUGGGGAACCCUCUAUAUGUUCUGAUAACACCUGUUGUAGCUCUACCAUAGAAAUUAUUACACUGUGUUGUAAUAUAGUCUCUUUUUUUCCUACACUUUCCAAAACUCAAUUAUAUUAAAAUAAUUUGAAGUAAGAAUGCUGUAUCAUUUGUGUAGCCCAAUUCUUGACAGAAUGCAAUUCCUUUAUUAAUGAUUUGAAUGAAUGAGUGAAUGAAACCAGAAUUUUUGUCCCAUCAAGACUUCUUUCUCAGGAAGUAUAAUCUGGUUUCUCAGUAUUUUCAUUGUACAUUAGUUCUUGUUCUUAUUUUUUAUACUUCACUAUUUUGUUCUAUGUGAGUGUUUGCUUUAAAAUGUGCUCUCUGGGAGUUCCUGUCAGGGCUCAGUGGAAACGAAUCUGACUAGCAUCCAUGAGGAUGCAGGUUCUAUCCCUGGCCUUAUUCAGUGGAUUAAGGAUCCGGCAUUGCUGUGAGCUGUGGUGUAGGUUGCAAACAUGGCUCAGAUCUGGCAUUGCUGUGGCUGUGGCGUAGGCCUGCAGCUGUAGCUCCGAUUAGACCCCUAGCCUGGGAACCUCCAUGUGCUGCAGGUGUGGCCCUAAAAAGACAAAAUAAAUAAACAAAUAAAUAAAAAUAAAAUGUGCUUUCUGGAGUUCCCUAGUGGCUUAGUGGGUUAAGGAUGUGGCAUCAUCACUGCUGUGGCUCUGAUUACUGCUGCAACAGGUUAGAUCUCUGGCCCAAGAACUUCCCAAUGCCACAAGCGUGGCCAAAAAUAAAUAAAUAAAUAAAUAAAAAUAAAUAAAAAAAAACAAAAAGGUGUUUUCUAUGGAUAUAAGGUAAUGUAGAGGAAAAAAAAUUAACUUUUCAAUUGUCAUGUUUUAUUUUUUGUAUGCUAUAUAAAUUCAUAGAUAUUCUCUUUUCUCUGAAAAUGGUUUUGCUCCUGCAUAUAUAUAUAUACAUAUAUACAUAUAUAUUCUUUACCCUUUACCUUUAAGUUAUAUGUAGCCCCUAGUAAAUUGGGUUUUGUGAAGUUCAUUUAAUAAAUGUGAGAAAGUCAGAGGUGAUUAGCACAAUGCUUUUUUUUUUUUUUUUUAAGGCCACACUUGUGGCAUAUGGAAGUUCCUGGACUAAGGGUCGAACUAGAUCUGCUGCUAUAGACCUAUGCCACAGCGAUGCCAGAUCCUUAACCCACUGAGUGAGGCCAGGGAUCAAACCUGCAUCCUCAUAUAUCGGAUUCUUAAUCUGCUGAGCCAUAACAGGAAGACCAUAACGUGUCACAUUCAAUUUCAACUGGAUGUUUUGGCUACAAUGGAGAUGUUAACAACUCAAAUCUCAGUAUUUCAUUAACAUAAUAGACACAUUUAUGAAAAACAAAGUUAGGAAUACAAUAAAAUCAGAGGUUGAAUCCAAAUUUAGGAAAGGGGAUUUAUGGCUUUCUAAAACUAUGACUUUAAAUUUGAGGUUUCUCUCCUCUCUCUUUUUUAUAUAGGCUCAACCAAACUACUGUCUAGACAAACACAGCUACUCAGUACAUAAAAAUACAAAAUAUGAAUUAUAAUAUAUUCUUAUUUAGUAUAAAUAUUUGAGAAUUUAAAUUUUUUCAAGGUACCUUGAAAUUCACUAUUUUAUUGUCAUCAUCUAAUGUUUAUUACUUUGGGGAAUGAUCCAUAAAUUAUAAUAUUUAAAUAAUAGUUUUAAUAUUCUUAAUAAUUUUUGAUUUUAGGUACAUCAGACUGAGGUGAAUUCUCUAGAAUUGAUUUACAUUUACAUAUUUAUACGUAACUCCACAUAUAUUUCAUUUUUAGACAGAUUAGAAGCAGUUAUUUCUAGAAUGGAGCUUAUUGAGGCAAAAUUUAAAUAAUUUUGGUAUUUAGAAACAUAACAUUCUAUAUUUAAUGUACUGUAUCAUAGAAUAAUCCGGAGGUCAGAUAUAAUGAAGAGAAUUAGUGAUUUUAGUUUCUGAAAAAGAUGUAAAGUUUCCUUUUUGUUUUUUAUUACACAGAAUUCCAGUACAUGGAGCAUUUUUAAUUUGUAGAGUUAUUCUUGGAUGAUAUGUGUCACAUUAGAUCUGUAAAUUCCACAUAGGAUGCAAUAUUGUUAUUAUUACUUUGUCUACGUGAAGAAUGUUACACAUUAUUUCAAUUAAAGUUUACUCCCUGGGAAUGAAUGAUGUUAUUGAGGUGACAUUAUAGACAGACAAUGAGAAUAGUUUAAGAAAGUUAGUUUUUUUUUUUAGCUGAUACUUAAAAAGUAGAAACCAAAAGAAAAUAAGAGUUUUUUUUAAUCCAAGUUCUUUGCUUAUUGAAGCAUGCGGUUAUUAUAUAAACUUAUAUUAAAUAUUUUCCUGUGUGGUUAUUCAGUUUCAGGAAACAUUGUUGAUUCUUUAGCAAAAUCUUUACAUCUUAAAGCUAUUUCAAAGAUUAUUAUUAUUUUUUUAAUGUUUUAUCCACAGUCUUCCCACCUUUCAUUUUAUAAUAUUAUAUGCAUUUAUUCUUUCUUGGAAUUAAGUCUAUCAGUUUUAAGCUAUAUGCUUUGGAUAAUUCAUUUUAGUGGGUGCUAAAAAUUGUAAAUGUUAACUACAAUAGAAAAGGAAAUUUUAACAUGUGCUAGCAAAUGUCCCCCAACUUCAGCAGUAGAAAAAAAAUCUCAACUAAAAAUUCCUACCAGAGAUGAUCUGAUCAUAACCUUUCAAGCAGAAAAUUGGGAAUCACUGUAGAAACAAUUUCUCAGGAAGGUAUUCAACUUUCAGAUAACCCUGAAACAAAGCAACCCAAUGUGUUUGCUUUCUGAAGAGGAAUCCUCAAUGGUCUCUCCGUCUUCAGGGUCCUCUGGAAAGCAAGCCCGCAGGAAAAUGUAAAGAACAGAGUACCUAGGAAAUGUAAGCCUUUUGUGAUGCACAGGAGGUAAAAACAUGUGUUCCUUCUAAAGUCUUUGGGAAAUGGUACAGGUUUUAAUGGUAUAGAUUAUAUAAAGAUCAUAAAAAUGGAUACCUUGGAUCAUUAACAUCUUGUUGAGCUGAAAUAUGCCCAUAGCCUUUGGCACAACUCAAUUCAGUUAGUCUGGAAUCAUACUGGAACACAAAGAAACCUCACUCUGAAACCAUUCAGGAUAAAAAAAAAACAUAAAGAUGAAUGUAUUGUGUUUCAGUUUUCUUUCAAAGAUUACCUUUAAAAUUUAAGACAUUCAGUGGUUGUGGUAUGUCCAUAAGGCUCUGCCCCUUUAACAUUUUAUACACACACACCACUAUUAUAAAUGUGUAUGUGUGUGUAUAUUCAAGCUUUGCUUUUAUUUUAACACAACUUCUAGUUUACACAUUUUGAAUAAAUACGUAUCUUUUAAGCCACUAAUUAUUUUAGAAACUUUGAAUUUGAAUUUAGGAAAGGCAAUAGGAAUUACAGAAAAUCUAUUCUAACAUUUAACUUAAACCAUCAUGACAAAACUUUACUAUAAGUCACCACAAUGAUCAUAACAGAAUUAAGAAACAUAAUAUAAAAUUUUAAUCUUCUACUAUAUAUUCCCCAAAUUAAAAAGAGAAGAAAACAUUUAUCUUGUCGUACAGGAUACCCUUUUUCAUUCAAGUGCCAUUUUCUUACAUUUAGGUUACACUCAAUUAUAAAAUGCUUGUUUACCUAGUUUGUCAUUUCUAACUUACUGUUAGCAUCAGGAGGCUUCUAGGCUACAAUGUUUCAAAUGCAAUGAAGUAGAGGAAAUGAUCCCAAGGUAAAAUGCAAUCCUAAAGGAUGAAAUGUACUAAAGAAUUCAACAUAAUAAUGUGUUCAAAUGGACAAAAGCGGGAGUUCCCGUCGUGGCUCAGUGGUUAACGAAUCCAACUAGGAACCAUGAGGUUGCGGGUUCGAUCCCUGGCCUUGCUCAGUGGGUUAAGGAUCUGGCAUUGCUGUGGCUCUGGUAUAGGCCGGCGGCUACAGCUCCGAUUCGACCCCUAGCCUGGGAACCUCCAUAUGCCUCGGGAGUGGCCCCAGAAAAG
rnacentral:lncRNA from 1 species